UACGGAGGAUCCAAGCGUUAUCCGGAAUCAUUGGGUUUAAAGGGUCCGUAGGCGGUUUUGUAAGUCAGUGGUGAAAGCCCAUCGCUCAACGGUGGAACGGCCAUUGAUACUGCAAGACUUGAAUUAUUAGGAAGUAACUAGAAUAUGUAGUGUAGCGGUGAAAUGCUUAGAUACUACAUGGAAUACCAAUUGCGAAGGCAGGUUACUACUAAUGGAUUGACGCUGAUGGACGAAAGCGUGGGGAGCGAACAGG
rnacentral:rRNA from 1 species